rnacentral:tRNA from 1 species
CGACCCAGACCCAAGAAGAGCCCAUUGGGGGUUUAUUGGUAAUACAUGAUAUAAAAAACUUCCCUUUGUAGU